UACAGAGGUCUCAAGCGUUGUUCGGAUUCAUUGGGCGUAAAGGGUGCGUAGGCGGCGCGGUAAGUCGGAUGUGAAAUCUCGGAGCUUAACUUCGAAACUGCAUUCGAUACUGCCGUGCUUGAGGACUGGAGAGGAGACUGGAAUUUACGGUGUAGCGGUGAAAUGCGUAGAUAUCGUAAGGAAGACCAGUGGCGAAGGCGGGUCUCUGGACAGUUCCUGACGCUGAGGCACGAAAGUCAGGGGAGCAAACGGG
rnacentral:rRNA from 1 species